rnacentral:rRNA from 1 species
GGAGGGUGCGAGCGUUGUCCGGAAUCACUGGGCGUAAAGGGCGCGUAGGCGGCCCGUUAAGUGGCUGGUGAAAUCCCGCGGCUCAACUGCGGGGCUGCCGGUCAGACUGGCGAGCUAGAGCACGGUAGGGGCAGAUGGAAUUCCCGGUGUAGCGGUGGAAUGCGUAGAGAUCGGGAAGAAUACCAGUGGCGAAGGCGUUCUGCUGGGCCGUUGCUGACGCUGAGGCGCGACAGCGUGGGGAGCAAACAGGAUUAGAUACCCUGGUAGUCCACGCCGUAAACGAUGGACACUAGACGUCGGGGGGAGCGACCCUCCCGGUGUCGUCGCUAACGCAGUAAGUGUCCCGCCUGGGGAGUACGGCCGCAAGGCUG